UGGUGGAGUGAUUUGUCUGCUUAAUUGCGAUAACGAACGAGACCUUAACCUGCUAAAUAGCCAGGCGAGCUUUGGCUCGUCGCCGGCUUCUUAGAGGGACUAUCGGCUCAAGCCGAUGGAAGUUUGAGGCAAUAACA
rnacentral:rRNA from 1 species